UUGAUCCUCGCUUGGUCGGUC
rnacentral:siRNA from 1 species